rnacentral:rRNA from 1 species
UUGAACGCUGGCGGAAUGCUUACACAUGCAAGUCGAGCGGUGGCAAGAGGGGCAGCAUGGCGGCGCAGCGGCGAACGGGUGAGUAAUACAUCGGAACAUGUCCAUUAGUGGGGGAUAGCCGGCGAAAGCCGGGCUUAAACCGCAUGAGCCCGAGAGGGAAUAGCAGGGGGACCAGCAAUGGCCUUCACGCGAAUGGUUGGCCGACGUCCGAUUAGCUAGUUGGUGGGGUAAAGGCUCACCAAGGCGAUGAUCGGUAGCUGGUCUGAGAGGACUGAUCAGCCACACUGGGACUGAGACACGGCCCAGACUCCUACGGGAUGGCAGCAGUGGGGAAUUUUGGACAAUGGGGGCAACCCUGAUCCAGCCAUGCCGCGUGAGUGAAGAAGGCCUUCGGGUUGUAAAGCUCUUUUGUCCGGAGCGAAACGGUUAGCGGUGAAUAGCGCUACUACUGAGACGUACCGGACAGAAUAAGCACCGGCUAACUACUGUGCCAGCAGCCGCGGUAAUACGUAGGGUGCGAGCGUUAAUCGGAAUUACUGGGCGUAAAGCGUGCGCAGGCGGUUUGUAAGCCUGAUGUGAAAUUCCCCGGGCUUAACCUGGGAAUGUGCAUUUGGGACUGCAAGGACUGAGUGCGGCAGAGGAGACUGGAAUUCCGGAGUAGCGGUGAAAUGCGUAGAGAUCGGAAAGAACCCUCGUGGCGAAGGCGACUUUCUGGCCUAAGACUGACGCUGAGGCGCGACGGCGUGGGGAGCGAACAGGAUUGGAUACCCUGGUAGUCCACGCGGUAAAACGAUGAGGACUGGAGGUUUGUUGGCGUGAGCCAAUGAGUCUUGAAGCUAACGCGUUAAGUCCUCCGCCUGGGGAGUACGGCCGCAAGGUAAAACUCAAAGGAAUUGACGGGGGCCCGCACAAGCGGUGGAGUAUGUGGUUUAAUUCGAUGCUACGCGAAGAACCUUACCUACCCUUGACAUCCUGUGAAGCCAUCAGAGAGGUUGGCGUGCCGAAAGGAACACAGAGACAGGUGCUGCAUGGCUGUCGUCAGCUCGUGUCGUGAGAUGUUGGGUUAAGUCCCGUAACGAGCGCAACCCCCAUGCUUAGUUGCUAAUUCGAGAGACUGCACUUUAAGCAAACUGCUUGUGAUAAACGAGAGGAAGGUGGGGAUGAUGUCAAGUCAUCAUGGCCUUUAUGGGUAGGGCUACACACGUGCUACAAUGGUGGGGACAGAGGGAAGCAAACCUGGAAGGGGAAGCGAAUCCCACAAACCCCAUCUUAGUCCGGAUUGGAGUCUGCAACUCGACUCCAUGAAGUUGGAAUCGCUAGUAAUCGCAGAUCAGCAAGCUGCGGUGAAUCCGUUCUCGGGCCUUGUACACACCGCCCGUCACAUCAUGGGAGUGGGUGGUACCAGACGUCGGUAGACUAACCUUAACGGGGGGUCGCUGCCCACGGUACGAUUCAUGACUGGGAUG